rnacentral:tRNA from 2 species
GGCCCGGUAGUUCAGUUGGUUAGAAUGCCAGCCUGUCACGCUGGAGGUCACCGGUUCGAGCCCGGUUCGGGUCGCCA